rnacentral:misc_RNA from 1 species
UGUGGGAGCGGGCUUGCUCGCGAUUCAGGCGCCCUGGUUUCUCAGGUAAACCGCGCCGAUACAAUCGCGAGCAAGCCCGCUCCCACA